AGCUUAAUCAGACAGUGAUAACUCAGGUUUUUUACCCCAAUCAAACUUGGAAUUAGUUUGGGAAACUCAGUUUGCUACAUCUUCUCUGGACGUCCUGAUUUAACUUCACACCAGCAAACUGAAACAUGGAGGACAUCUCUAAAUCUAACAUUUUCUCAGGAAUCUCCUGAGACACUUUGCAAGAAUUCCAAGCUAGCAUUUAGCUCAACAAGAUUUACACACACAGAGUACAGAAGCUCUGGAAAUUAGUGACACCAUCUCCUCUCAUUUGCAACAGGAAGGGUCCAAGAGUGUCCACUGUAGAAGAGGUUGGAGGGGUAAAAGCUACUUGUACCCAUGGCACUCACCUUGGAGCAGCUGCUUACAAGCAUCUGGCAGACAGAUCUGACUCUGCUUUUGGAAGAGAUUCAAAGGAUCUGGCAGGGAAGGCUCCAUGAAACAAAGAGGUAAAUUUGUACAGGAGUGAAUAUUCUUACUUUUCUGUCUUUAAGGAAAACCAUAACCUGCAACACCACAGAAUAUGUUCUUAGUCAGAGAACUGAGACUGGGCCUUUCUUUUUUUAAUGCAUACAGAAGGUAACUGGUGUCCACUCCAGCAGUGGUGUACUUCUGUGAUGGGCAAUGAAUCCAUACAAGAAGAUUUUUUUUUUCUCUUUUUUUUUAUCUGCAGUGCAGAUUUCUAUUACACGUUCUGCAUUUGCUUAACACACAAGAUUCCUGCAGAAAUCAAUGGAAGUUCUAUGUGCAGAAAAAGGCACAGAAAGUGCAACAGAGAUUUGCACCACGGAUUAAGAGGUUCUCAGUGCUGAUCAAAGAAGAAUUUUGUCCGAGCUUCCUAGCAUCUAAAUAAGAAGUUGCCUCAAUUUAUUUUAGCACUUGCCUUUUAAAUGGAAAGUGCCCAAUACUGUUACAAUGAUUUAAAAUACAUCAGAGCAAGCUCACUUCACUUAGUGCAAGGGAUGUAAACUGCAUCUCCUGCAGCACCAGGAGCGACGUUUGUUCCAUGGAGGAAGGAGGCUGCUCAUCUCCAGCAGUGCCAAUCGGAGGCCAAGGUACCAGAAAACUUGGAGAGAAGUUUCUUGGAGUGAGAUCAGCUAUCACCUAUGCUACAACUGAACCUCAGGUCUUUCAUCAAGGAGUUAAUAACAAGAUGAAGGUUCUCUUUUCAUCAGUUCCUAAGUGACGCUCCAUUUGAUUGAAGAAGAUCAAAAAUGAUGAUCAGAAAAUAAAAAGGAAGUUUUAAAGGCAGCCUUUGUACAACAAUUUAACUCUCUCAUUCCUGUUAUUUCAGAAGUAUCACUGGAUUUCUUUAAGGCUUGGAAAUA